rnacentral:rRNA from 1 species
GUGGGGAAUUUUGGACAAUGGGCGCAAGCCUGAUCCAGCAAUGCCGCGUGCAGGAAGAAGGCCUUCGGGUUGUAAACUGCUUUUGUACGGAACGAAACGGUCCGGGUUAAUACCCUGGGCUAAUGACGGUACCGUAAGAAUAAGCACCGGCUAACUACGUGCCAGCAGCCGCGGUAAUACGUAGGGUGCAAGCGUUAAUCGGAAUUACUGGGCGUAAAGCGUGCGCAGGCGGUUUUGUAAGACAGGCGUGAAAUCCCCGGGCUCAACCUGGGAAGUGUGCGUGUGACUGCAAGGCUGGAGUGCGGCAGAGGGGGAUGGAAUUCCGCGUGUAGCAGUGAAAUGCGUAGAUAUGCGGAGGAACACCGAUGGCGAAGGCAAUCCCCUGGGCCUGCACUGACGCUCAUGCACGAAAGCGUGGGGAGCAAACAGGAUUAGAUACCCGAGUAGUCC